rnacentral:tRNA from 1 species
GGGUCUGUAGCUCAGCUGGUUAGAGCACACGCUUGAUAAGCGUGGGGUCGUUGGUUCAAGUCCAACCAGACCCACCA